AUUUAUAUAGUUUAAAAAAAACACUACAUUUUCAAUGUAAAAUUAAAUUCAAUUUUUAUAAAUU
rnacentral:tRNA from 1 species